GGAGGAUGAGUGCUGUAGCUGGGGGAGUAGUGUGCGUGUGCGCGUCCCCGUCAACACACCGGCCAUGAAAGGCCCAGGAGGACUGCAUUGUUUUCUUCAUGAGGACACAAUGAGGACUAUCUGUGUGUGGGAGCACGUUUGGACAAAGUGAGGAGACUGUCAUUGAACUGUGCGACCCCGCUGAGUAACCUACUGCGGCCCAGUGGAGGAAGACAUCAGCACUGCUCUGAGGUCAGUGGAUUUACUGGGUGUUGGGUUUGACCCACAUUCUCAGUCAUGGCUCGUCUCUUAAACACCCUGGCAGCUACAGGAGGUGUCUUGAGCCCAAGCUGCUCACCAAGUGCCACUUCUAACAUCCUGGUGCCACAGCAUCAGACCUCUUCACACUGACUGUACUUUUGUCCAACUAGAACCAGAACCAUUGUAGGUAGGGCCCAGUUAUUUUCCUUUUUCCAUAUUAAAAACAGCCACAGUUAUAUAUAUAUAUGUCUGACUUACCAGCGGAAUGGUGGAAAUUAGAGCCCUAUAAUAGAACAAAUCACACAAAUCUGAGAAGUGGCUGGAGAUGCUGGGGGAAAAGUUGAGUUUGAGGAAAAGGGCCAUAUUGUUGAGGUGAGGUCAUUGCUGGAAAAUGAAAUUAUGGGGCCCCCAAUCCUCUCAGGAGACGAAUAAUGGGUGCUUCUUCCCGUCCCUGAAGGAAAACAAAUAUUAACUGCUGCUGUAGAUGAAAAUCAUUUUAAUGGGAAAGAGAAUAUUUUUAUGCCGCUCUGGCUUUGGCUUGAAAUGCAAUGAACAAACUUACUUUCGUAAUUUAUUUUUUAGUGUAUACAAAUCUUCUAUUUAUUCUAGGUGUUUUUUUCUCAAUGAGCCCUGUGUUAUAUAAUAUGCAGCAUUAACAUUUAAGAGUGAAUAAACACAUAAAGGGACAUUUUCUUGCUUCAGCUGGGCGCAGUAACUUUUUUAGUGAGUCUAAAACCAAACAUGGACAUGAGCAAACAUGAACUCAUCUGAGGGGCAGAGAGGGAAAGUUGAAACAGUUUAUUAACUAACGUCCGCUCUCCACUCGUUCAGCCUCAAUGACUCUCCUCGA